UCCCUUCGUCCCUCUCGACUCGGGAGACGAAUCUGUAGCGCCGCCGCCAUCCCCGUUGUCCCUGUCGCCGCUUAUCCUCCUCGCUGCUGCAGCGCAUCCUCUUCUCUCUUUGCCAUGUGAUUUGCUUGAAUCCCAAACGGGGAAACCCCUAGCUCACGCCUCACAGUUGCGCGAGGCAAAGGUCACGAGCACCUCCUGUUGGCGAUGGAAACGAACAGGCCCGGUCCUAGAGGGGGGCGAUCAGGGCGGCCACGGCUCUGCCUCUUCCAUGCGACUGGCAACGGCUAUGGAGGCGCGGCACCUUCUCCACGCUCUCGCAAUCCUCCCGCUCGCAAACUCGGGUUGCGGUCUUGCGGACACCACCUCUGCCAGUAAGGGCAGGACCGCAGUGGACAACAUGGUGCCUUCUCCUAUGGGGCAGACCGGCAGCGGCCAAUCCAACCCAGAUCCGUUGGUUUCAGCAGAUAUAGAGAUCACUAUAGGUCAUCUCCCCUCUUGCUCCUUUUCUCCUCAAAUACACAUUUCCAUAAGAAAAUAGAUUGUUGUUUACUUCUUACAGCUCCAGUGGUGCAAUAUUUUUGAGAUCUACAUUGUUUUCUGUCGAUUGGCCUGUUGAUUUUGAGUUUAACAUGCAUGGGCGUCAAGUCUUGACAACUGACAGUGGACAUGGAUAGGGAAGCUUCGGCCAAGAGUGUGGUCAAGCUUGGUACUGUUCUGGUAACCCAUUGAAACUUCUUGUAUUCAAUGGUCUGGGACAUAGCGGCCACGGAUGAGGGAUGACACCCCAUCCUAACACUCUCAGGAGAUGAGGAUCAGUGCCCUGGCCGUGCAUGCGCCCACGAACAAAUCACAUAGGCGAGCAGGUCGUCUCAUUUCUGCCUCCACCCGUGCUAGACACGCAAAUUCGUCCAAGGCCCCAUCUGGUUGUUGUAUUGGCAGAGAAAAAAAGGUAGCCUAUAGGAUAGCUAUCUUUGCAAAUGCUCUGCCAGAAGGCCAAUUGAUCAGUAUAUUUUCUUCCUAUUCCAUCUCUGAUUAGUGCCAGUUACUUCUGGCAUGGAGCUCGUGCACAAGUUAAAGUUCAGUUUAGCAGGCAAUGUAAACCAAAAGUUACUUGUAAAGAUAAUUGUACACAAUCUGCUAAAAAUAGUAUGCAUUCUUACCUAGAUAACUGAUUCAUCUGAGCCAGACAUGUUUUCAUUCUAAUCUGCAUUGCGAGAGUGUGUAAAAAUUUGGAUUGCACAAUCUCCAUAUAUGUUUCUUGACUCCGCAAGCAUUUUUCUGUUGUAAAAGUAGAAAGGUGAGAGGAGGAUGCCAUGCUUAAUGUGAAUCAGCAUCAGCGAACUGUUUUUCUAAUCGUUUAUUUCCCUUGUGAUGAUUUUCUAACUGAAUCCCUUCUGAUAUUUUCCUCAAACAGGUUCCAAAACUUUUACUUCAUAGGCUCUUUCCUAAUGUGCGCUAUUCAUUCUGGAUCGAUGGGAAAGUUAAACUUGUGAAGGAUACUUAUUAGCUAUUGGUGAGGUAAAUAUCAUCUUCUCUCACUGAGCUUCGUCUGCUACUUGUUGUAACUACUCUGCACAUAACUCAAUGAACAUUUAAGUAUGCCGUCAAAAAUUAGUUUGGUUGUUGCCAGUGCCACUUAUGCUCUAUCUGUUGUAUUAAGAUCCAAGCUGCACCAUAUAAUUACUCUAAUAUUUUCUCAAAGUCUGCUCUUAUCUGGAUCUUGUCUUAUUAUUCUCUGAUUCUACUUUCUUAAAUAAUUUAUUUGCUAAUAUUUUCCUUUUUAUGAUGAGUCAUGUCGACUAGGCUUAUUAUCUUGGUAGGUAUAUGUAGAUAGUUCAGUGUGAGCUUCAGCAGUGCAAACUAAACUUCCUAUUUAUAUAUUUUAUCUGUAGUAGUGGAUUGUGUUAAAAAUAAGUUUCAACAACAUGAACAUGGUAGGGGCGACAUAUUCUUUGCUCUCUCCCCGCGGUGGCGUCCAAGUCAACUUCUAGGGGACGUCAACCGAGGGUGCGGCUUGUAGGUGAGGGAGAUGAUGGCAGGCUUUUGUUCCCCUUGUGUUUAACCUUUUUCCCCAUCAACGACAUCAAUACCACAUACCAGCAAUCUGCUCUUGUUCGGAGCCGGACCCUAGGUCAGCAUUUUGCUGCCCUAUAUACAGUGUUCUGUUUUGUUAGACCAAUUCCUUUUCUCUAUUUUUCCUUGAUUGGUUAUCAUGGUUUUGGUUAAGGAUAUGCGUGGACAACUACAAUUACAAAACAGUCUGGGUUCAUGGUUGUCGAAUUGUUCUCAUUGGUUUGGAGGAACAUGCCUUGCUCUUGAUUUAAUCAUUGGAGCAACUGUUAGGAUUUGAAUCCAUUGGGUCUACAUACUUUGGCAUUCAAUCUUCUUAAAAGAUACAGGUGCAGGCCUCUCCUCUCUGCUGCAUCAUUGGUGGGGAUCUGUCCUGUCGAUGGAUACAUCCGGUGUCAACCUUUUGCGUUGCUCAUGUAACACAUGUUGAUGUUGCUCACUCCAUGAUCUGAUAGUUCAGUAUUUUUCAGAUGCCUACUAAACCUCCCAUGUUUAGUUUAGUUGUAGUACAAUAGUAGUGCAUGUUCGAAUUGUAUUGCCCUUUGCUUCAUCCAUUACUACAGAUCACAUUGACCUCUCCCUGGAAGGAAACAAAACCUUUGACAAAAUUUGAAGAAUGGUACCAUCCUAUAAGUUAAUGUAAAAGGUGUUAAUAUUGUAAUAAGGAACUGUACAAAUGGAACCAAAGUUUAGUUACAACUUAUUAAACGGUUUUGCUUGGUGAUGUCGUAUGUACUAUAUUGAUUUGUUUUUUUUUGUAAUCCGGGUCUUUUGUUAUCGAAUAAAAUCCUUAAGUUUGCUCUUCUCCUUUCCUUCCAUUAAAAUAAUCCGUCAUAUCAGGGUAAGAUACAUACCGGGAGAGCCUCAGCCUCCUCAGAGUUUAGCGCUUCCUGGCCGUCGGAUCUGGACCUUGAUGCGAUUUGGGCCGUCCGAUCUCGCUCUGGAGUGAGCCACACCGUCGGAUAAAAACGUGUUACUGUGGAUCGAAACAGUGUGCGCCCCGGGCUGCCACCGCGCGCGUAAUUUCUGGAUCCCGCCGAGGGCACAAGUGGCAAUUCGCGUCCAGGUCUGUCACGUGUCGGCGGCUGAUUCGUUCCUAGCGGGAGAGAGGUAAAUAUCUCCUGCCACCGCCGUGAUUCCAGUGACCCACCGAGGGCGUUAUCGUCUUUUCAGGCCUGUUGCGUGCUCGUCACUGGUUGGCCCGUCGGUGUGGAUGAGGUGAGGGCGCCGGCUGCCUUGACUCUUCGUCCUCCCAUUCGCCCCCCUCGUUGGUGAGAACCUAGCCGCCUCUUCCCCGUCGCAUUCCUCUCUCUGCUGCUCGCGCCGCGGUCGCCAUCGAGGGCUUGCCGCCCGCGUCGCCGCUUCCCCGUCGAGCUCGCGCGUCACGUCGUCGAGAGAAGGCCAGGCGGAGCGAUAGGAGGAGGCCAAGCGGAGUGCGCCAGACGGUGUGCGUCGUUUCCAUGGCUGCGCGCUGGGCGACUCCGACACCUCCGUCUCAUCCCUCCCAACCCGAUGAGGAGGCCGAGCCGCCACCUGCUGCCGGCCCUCGGGCCGUCUUGCUCGACCAUGCCCAGGGCGCGCCUUCGGCGAGGCCUCCUGCUCCGAGCAGAGGGCGCACAAACGACCGGGGCAGAGGAGGAGACCCAGGCGGAGCACGCCAUCUCUGUCGACCGGAGGAGCACCAGGUAUUUAACUUACGCAAGCAAGGCCGUGAGAGGGAGAUAGAAGGAGAAGCAGAGGCAGAAGCAAGAGGAAGGAGAACCUCGAGGUGUUGCGGCGCUCGGGCCUUGGUCAACUAUGCCGCCCCUUCGCUCUCGCGCCGCCAGGGCCCUCUUGCUCUUAGGACGAGCUUGGCUGAUUUCAUGGUCCUGUUGCGAUUGGUUCCGGAUCUGACCGCACACCUCCCGUCUGUCGCCGCCGUUUGCUCGCUCGCCGCCAUCAGAAAGGUUGGUUGUGAGGGUUUGGUGCCAGGGUCGUUGCUGGGUCCGUGGCUGUUGUUCCUUCAGAUUUGGCCAUCUUUCCUCCUGCAUCUCCAACGAAGGUGCUCUUCUUCAUGGCCCACUCUUUGAGAGGUUUAUUGGUUAGUUUGCUGUACCUGCCAACUGUGAAAUCCAGGAGGAUUUGUGAUUCCUGUUGUCAUUUGGUUUGUCAUUAUUUGCCAUUUGCAUGUGUGGUCAGAUCCAAGUGUAUUUGAUUGGUCUGUAUACGAUAUGUAAGGUUGAUGAUUGUCCUAUACAUGUUUGGUUUAGUACUGUGAGCUGUGCAGGUAGUAAGUUUAGGGCUGAACAUGUAGAGAUGGGGGUACUGUGUUAGUUUAGGACUGAACAUGUAGAGAUGGGGGUACUGUGUGAACAUUAAAUCCCAUUAGGCAAUUCAAAUCUUGGCGAAUACGACAACCCAGUUUUAGGAGCUAUUGUUCUCAGCUUCUUCCAAGUUGAAUUCGAUUAAAAAGUGGAUGUCAUGUUUCUCUAAUGAGCACCAGAAAAUGUUUUCUUUGCAAUGCCAUUGUUGUAGGGUUCUGACAUAACCUGUUCUCCCAAAAUUUGUUCUAAGCAUAUUUAAAGGUUUUCUUAUUACUAUAUCUUGAUCAUGGUUAUAUUCUUUAAUAGCCACCAUAGUACUGAUUGGUGACUGGUUUUUGGAACAUAUGUUGCCAAUCAAAAGAUUUGGAAUACAAUUGAUGUAUGAAGAUCUAUUUGCUGAUUGCCUUAACGCAGAAGGAGAGUCUCACUGCAACUGCUGGAGCACAUAAACCACCCUUUCUUCUCAGUUUUGAUUUGAAAACCACUCAUACUCUAUUUGCAGAUUGCCUUAACGCAGAAGGAGAGUCUCCUCUGCCACUGCUGGAGCACAUAAACCACCCUUUCGUCUCGGUUUUGAUUUGUAAACCACUCAUACUCUCCCAAAUAUGUCACCUAAUAUGGAAGCUAUAUAUCACCAAGUACAAUUCUGAGUUUCCUGUGCAAGAAUGAAGACCUCAGUUUGUGUAUUCCAUCCUGUACAGAUAACUGGUUACUACAUGCAGAAUCAUCCCAACUCCCUUGUUCCAUACUCUCUAGAAAUUCAGUUUACAAUAUGUUGAUUUGCAUCUUGUUUCUGCUACCUGGCACUGUACGCUUUAUAUGUUGUGGACUCGGUCUUCUGUAGCGAUUGUAAAGAUUGUUGCUAGCUCCUUUGAUUUGUGUGCUGCUCAACGGUGCGAAGUACCAUAUAAUUUCAUUUCAAGUCAGACACGAUUUCUUCUACCAUCAAAAGAUUCAUGUAAAUAAGCUUUGAAAACCUGACUUCUAUUCAGUCGUUGCAAGUAAUAUUUUCGGUAUGACAGACACAAUUAGCAUUCAGCAAAACAAGCUCGACAAGAUUUACGACACUAAGCCCACCAAGUGUCACCGAAAUGCUUCUACAAAUGACACAUUAUACAGACUGCUAACUUACAAGUUGUUUGUUACAUAUAGAUGCAUGUUCCUUGAUGUCAACUGAGUGCUGGGUACUCUCCCGCAACAAAUAAAUAUAUAACAAGAGAUUUAUACUGUCAUUUGAUUAGCCCCUGGUGUGGAAUCAGAAGGUCAGACAUUUGUUUUUGAGUUGAAUGGCUGCCCAGCUGUGUACGUAUGCACCAGAACAGAGCAUGGAAUGAAGGGGGCAGCUAGGGAGUUAUCAUGGUCCUUGCGGUUGUCAUUCCCAUGACUGUGCCAUUCGCGUUUGUACAGGUAUUUCUCAGUUCGCUAUACAGAGAUGGAGCUUGCAGAACACAUCAAUUUACCGGUCGAUGGCAUGUGGGCUCAACUCGUGUGUGGAUGCGCAGCGGGGCAAGUCCGCCUGAUGAAAGGUGUGGACGAAAGAGCGACAAUAACUACGGGGUUGGUCAAAGAUUGAAAGAAAUCUCUUAUGUGUCUUCGGCUUCGACACUACGCAUAGGAAGCCGUUGCUAAUAAUCCAAUCUUUGAAAAGGUUCAUGUGUUGUGGCGUAUGAAAUGUUGAACGUCAAGACGAUCAGGUGGAUCUAUCAACAAAUAUGUUUCUGUGGAACUACAUAGGUUCUUUGUUGCCCCUGUGGCUUGAUUUUUGUUGUAUGAAAAGUACAUUGUCUGUGUCAAACUUGAUGUGGAUUGACGAACGGUUCUACUGACAAAAUCCCUCAUGGUUGCUUUGCAUUUGCUACAUGUGAUUGCCUUGCCUUC